rnacentral:rRNA from 1 species
AGGAGUGGAGCCUGCGGCUUAAUUUGACUCAACACGGGACACCUUACCAGGCCCGGACACCGGAAGGAUUGACAGAUUGAUAGCUCUUUCUUGAUUCGGUGGGUGGUGGUGCAUGGCCGUUCUUAGUUGGUGGUGCGAAUUGUCUGGUUAAUUCCGUUAACGAACGAGACUCUAGCCUGCUAAAUAGGCGUAUUACCGGUAUCCUGAAGGCUCGUGGCUCUCGUUUUCUGGCAUAUGUCGCUGUGGCGUAUCUUCGUUAAGGCGUUGUGCGUUGCACGGUGUUUGUUCAGGGCGGAAGUUCACGGUUUUUACUACCGGCGUACAUAUAAUUCUUCUUAGAGGGACAGGCGGCUUCUAGCCGCACGAGAUUGAGCAAUAACAGGUCUGUGAUGCCCUUAGAUGUUCUGGGCCG